UACAGAGGUCUCAAGCGUUGUUCGGAUUCAUUGGGCGUAAAGGGUGCGUAGGCGGCGCGGUAAGUCGGGUGUGAAAUCUCGGGGCUUAACUCCGAAACUGCAUUCGAUACUGCCGUGCUUGAGGACUGGAGAGGAGACUGGAAUUUACGGUGUAGCGGUGAAAUGCGUAGAUAUCGUAAGGAAGACCAGUGGCGAAGGCGAGUCUCUGGACAGUUACUGACGCUGAGGCACGAAGGCCAGGGGAGCAAACGGG
rnacentral:rRNA from 1 species